ACUCCUACGGGAGGCAGCAGUGGGGAAUUUUUCGCAAUGGGCGAAAGCCUGACGAAGCAACGCCGCGUGGAGGAUGACGGCCCUCGUGGUCUUAAACUCCUGUCUAGCGGGACGAAAGUAUUGGAGGUGAAUAAUCUCCGAUAUUGACUGUACCGCUGGAGGAAGCUCCGGCCAACUCCGUGCCAGCAGCCGCGGUAAUACGGAGGGAGCAAGCGUUACUCGGAAUUAUUGGGCGUAAAGGGCGCGUAGGCGAUCUGAAAAGUUCUGUGUGAAAGCCCACAUGUUAACUGUGGAAGUGCACAGAAAACUGUUGGAUUUGAGUUCAGGAGAGGAAGGCAGAAUUCCCGGUGUAGCGGUGAAAUGCGUAGAGAUCGGGAGGAAUACCAGUGGCGAAGGCGGCCUUCUGGACUGACACUGACGCUGAGGCGCGAAAGCCAGGGGAGCAAACGGGAUUAGAUACCCCGGUAGUCCUGGCUGUAAACGAUGUGCACUUGGUGUGAGCCGGUUUUCGGUUCGUGCCGAAGUUAACGCAA
rnacentral:rRNA from 1 species